UUUUCUUUUUCUUUUUUUUUUAAAAAAUUGUGUAAUUUUAGGCUUCGUUUUAUUCGGAGUUAAGUAAGAACUAAUUAUUUCAGAAAUAGACAUAAGAUGAGGGUUAAGGUGGGUAUAGAGUAAUUUUUUGUUUGGUUGAAAAUUUGGUUUAGUUUAGAUAUAAGCAAAAUUAUGUUUGGUUUAGAAUUAGGUUUAGCUAGAUAUAAGCAAAUUAGCGUUUGAUUGGAGUAAGUGGAAUAAGAAGGAUAGUGAGUGAUUAUAGAGAUAAAAAGAUCAAAAUACC
rnacentral:lncRNA from 1 species